AGGGCGUCGUCUGUUUCAGCAUCGUUAAUUUGUAUCUGCCCUGGCUUGGAAGAACCUUUAAUUUGUCAUUUUUGCCUUGUAGCGAGGUGUUCAUUGUGGUAUAGGCUUGUAUCCAUUUUUUAUUCCUGCUUGAGUUAACACUUGAGCUACAUAACUGUACUGUAUUAUGCUGAAUGCUACUAGGGUCUGAACUCGGGUUUAUUGGAAGAAAUCUUUGAAUAUCCUGGGCAAGGUAUAACUAUGUGUUUUGGUUAUCUUUGUUUGCAUUUUGGUCAUCUUUGUCACAUGGUUCAAGUCUCAAGAAAGCUUAGAUCAUGUCAGAAGCCAUGGCCUCACCACCAAUUGCAAUGGUGAAAGGAAGAUCACAACAUCGCUUCUCCAGGGGACGAGCCGCUUGUUUGAUCAGCCAAGCUACUUAUAAGGUUUAAUAAACCAUACUACUUCAGAGAUUGUAAGACUCCAGGCUAAGCUACACUAGCUAGAUGGUCGCGGCUUACAUUCUCACAACACAUGGCAUCACAGCUGGAACAACACCAUCAGCAACAGGAGGAGGUGAUGCAGCCAGCCCAACCCCCCUUCAAACACGUGGCGCCGACGGCCGCCGCUCGCUCUUUCCCUCACCGCCACGCCGCCUGGCUGGUACGCCACGCCGGGGUUCCACCCGGUGGGUAUGGCGUUGCCGGCGACGAGCAUCUUGCCGGACCUGAACGUCAGGCGGAUGGAGAAGGGGCCCUGGAGGGUGGACCCAGAAAGCUUCCACACCGCACCCCAGGACUGCUGCAUCGGGAUCCACACUCCGGUUGCCCCGGCACCGCUCUGCAUGAUGUCGACGGCGUAGAGGUCGCUGUCGCCGUCCUCGUACUCGACCAGGAUGGCGAGGUAGUUCGGGUUCGAGCCGCUGUCCACUUUGAAGGUCAGGCCUACUCCAGUCCAGUCACAGGUCACGCUGUACAGACACAAAUGCUAACACGACGGAUUAAUGGCGGCUAUAAAAGACGGCCAUUGCAAGAGGCCGUGAAGAGUAACCAUGAUCUAUAUAUGUUCCAUCAACUUAUGCAUACCGAGUGUACUGGAUUUGAAUGAGGCCAGCACCGCGGAGUUGGUCAGCUUGGCCAGGUUUUGCCAUGGCGCCGAAUGCUGUCCCGCUCAUGUCGAAGUGCGCUGCCUCAUUCUGGCACUGUCCAUCGACUAGCCCGCUCAGGCAUGGGCCGCCACCGGGGCCCUGGUCCGUGAUGACGACGGUCACCGGGAUGCCAGAGCAAGCUUGAUUGCCACUGCAAACCACCUGAUGAAAUCAAGAUUACUGAAUGUCAAAUGUCACACAAUUUGCAGUCAUGCUCGUAGCCUCAGCUGCAUAGAGCUAGACACGCACCCGGUAGCACGCGCCACAGCCAUCGCCGGAGUCGUAUAUGACAGGGCCGCCAGCGGCAAUCAUGGAUGAGAACGGCGGCUGGUCGACAGCAUACUGGUAUCCGCACGCGCCACCUACAACAGCAUAUGUGAUUCAGGCAUGCAGGCAUCAGACAUUAGCUUCAAAGUUCAAACCCCAGUUUGGGCAGGGCUAGUACCAUUAAAUCAUAUAUCUAUUACCUUCACUUCCCGCGCCAUUGGCGUCACCAUACCACGUAGCGAUGCCAUCGGACCAGCCGGAGAGCUCACGGUGGAUCUCAAUGGAUGCACAAGGGUGGAAGAGUGAAGCAAUAACAACUCUAGUGGCAAUGGAGGACAGGAGCUGAAGCUUGGAAGCCAUUCACAGCACUCUGACAAUUUAGCUAUGUUUGGUAAGAAUUGAGAUAGUGUUGGCCUGCAAGGAGGGAAGACAAAUAGAGGAACAGUGUUAGUUUUGCAAUGCGCACAUUCAAUAGACAAUUUGUUUGAUAAAGGACAGGCCAUAGUACACAGGUUCUUUGGAGAGAGGACACACUGAAGCAAGAGUAGCAGGAUUUUGCAGUGCAAUUUUGUCAUUUUCUUGUACUCCCUCCGCUCCGAUCCAUAUCAAAAUUGUACUAAAUCAGCGACAAUGAGUAUGGAUCAGAGGGAGUAACAAAAAUGGUAUCAAUCACUAAUUCACUACCACACAGGAAACUGAUGAUCAGUUGACAAGUGACUGAGAGAGAGGAGAAUAAAUUUUGGAGAGAUCCUCUCCUUGGGACAGAUGCACACAUUCUAACAAAGAAUGGCUGUGUGCAUCGCAAUGAUGCAGAGGUCAGGGGUUUCACCCUCCUUUUAGAAGAGAAAAACUGAAAAAAUUGGCAUGAGGCGAAAAUUCUAUAAUUGUCAAAUCAAUGUGCAAAUGCUCCUGGAUUUUCUUAGACUAAUAUUCAAAGAUAUCUUAUGAGUACGAUACUGACAUAUAUGGAAAGGCAUCAUGAACUCACUUGAUCCUGUCUAACAAUCCCAAAGAUCUUAAUAUGAAUAUCUGAUACACUUAAAAUGAAACGAGAGCAGAUUUUAAUAACGAAUUAGAGAUUUGAAGAAAAAAAAUGCAAAAUCUGAAUAACGAAAGAAUGUUGGGGCUUGUAGAAAACCAUUGCCUGAUCAUCAGCUUCUAGUAUGUAAACAGAAGUAUUCCACAGCUUGUGCUACCAUACUCUUUUGGAGAGAAAAAGAAUAUAAGCUACUCUACUUCAAGAUUAGUAAACUUUUCUAGAAGAAGAGCACCACAACAAAUCCUGAAUCCCACUAAUCUGAAAUGCAAAAUGAAAUGUGUGUAGUGACAGCUAUAAUCAUAUUUAAGUGGAGUUUCCGGAACAAACUGCUGAAGACAAACUGUUUAAGCGAGCCUCGAGCCCCUGAGCUUGUUCCAAUCCAAGCAAUCAGCAGAAUCGAGCAAUUUCCUGCCUCUGGCAGUGCUUGCAAUCUGCUCAUAUCUGAGGCAAAUGUGUGCCAAGGGACAGAAACGCGCAGCCUCCUAAACAAAUCCAAACUGAAGUGCACCAUACAUAUAUACACACACACUAGAAAAACGCCAACACGAAUCAACCCUAAGUCGAUUUGACUCGCUGCCUGGAAACGAUAACCAACCAAAUUUGCACGAACCCUCAAGGCCUGAAGAAGCGCCAUGCCAACAAGCAGCCGCAGUCACCAGUCGCGUCAGAACGGCACCGUGUGUAAGAAGGAUAACAAGGAGUCUUACCCGGCGACCGCCGUGCUCUUCGAGUCCGGUCCGGCCACCUUUUCCCUGCACGCACGGGGAAGAGGAGCAAAUGCGGCGGCGCAGAUUCGGAAGAGAAACCAAGCGAAGGCGGGUCGAGGGGUCCGUCCAGUUGCUGCUGUGUUUGCAAGGAAAAGGUAGGGUUUGUUGAAAUGCGGGCGGCGGUGGAGGAACGGAGGCGGCGGCGGGGCGGGGAAGAGAGGAGGUGGGGGGAGUGGAGUGUCUCACACCCUCACGGUCAAAGGGAGCGGGAUGGAGAGAGGGGUGGCGAGUGAGUGACAUGCCUGUUUUGGUUGCACGCCCGGCCGGACGGGGCACUGUCCCUGGCGUCUUCCUGGCCCACGACAAGCUGGUAAAAGCUUUGUUAUUUUCAAAUAAAGACAUUCCACUAUAUGAAUAAUCAAACAAAUCCUGCACUAUUGUCAGCCAAAUUAGAAGUUUUUCUUUUUAAAAAAGAGGACCGACAUGGGAGGAACUGAAAGGAUGCAGGGAAAUUUGUUGUGGAAAAAUAAACAAACAUAUUGCCCAACAUAACCCCCUCGAGAGCCCUUCAUCGGCUAGUUGAAGAGGAGAGCAGGGGAGAUGGUCUUUCGUUCCUGGACGGAUUAUCUAUAGCAGAAUUGAUCAUGGUAGCUUCUUGGUAUAUUUGAUGGCAACACCGUCAACAUAUGCAAGGUGAAACAAUUCAGACACCUGACAGAACAACAGUUUAUAUCAAAGACCAGAGUACAUACCACAAAUCAGCCUAUGAGGACGCAAGAUCAAAUGUGAAAGAAGCCGGGCAGUGAUGUUAUUAAAAUUAAUGUAGAUGUGGCGUUCCAGUAUGAAACACUUUCAGGUGCAACAGGCGCGAUUGCUCGCGACAAAAACGGUACCUUUAUAGUUGUAGCUAAUUGGCUCCUUCACAUAUCAGUAGUGUCAAUGCGGCUGAGAUAACAACAAUCAGGAACGGAUUAUGCUUAGCAGGACGAAUCGGGUGUCAUAAGUUGAUGAUAUAAUCUGACAUCAGUUUUGCAGUGGAGGCAGUUCGACAGGGAGGCGACCAUAUGGGUUCUGUUGUGGCUAUAGUGCUCGAAUGCAAGGAGCUAGCCCAUAGAUUUUGCAAAGAUAUCAUAUGCUCACCGUCUCCGAGAAGCAAAUGAAGUUGCUAAUGUGUUAGCGAAGAAUUCUUUUAGCAGAAAAUAUUCUACGUUCUGGGACUCUGUGAUCCUUGUUUUUUUUCCUCAAAUUCUUGUAAAUGAUCUAUCAAUCAUCUGAGAAAUAAAGUUCAUGCUUUAAAAAAAGAAGGAGAGUGAGUCCAAAGAUAUUGAAGAAAGGUUGUUAAGGGCAUCUCCAACACUGACCCCAAAUCGGACACCUUAUCCAUCCGUGGACCGGUAAGGACCAGUCUACAGACACUGAUGCAGGAGCCGGCCAUCCAACUCACGCGCGCAUACAUUUCAAAGGGGAUUUCAACAAACCGGACGAUUUUCAUAUAAAUCGGAGCACAUUCAUUACAUUUUUGAUAUUUUCAUUAAAAAGGCGAUCAGACCUAAACUUAGCCUACGGUGGCGUCCAUCCUCCACGUCCUUGUUUGUUCCCUUCAGGUGUUCGCCGGGUACAUCUCACUGUCUUUAUGAGCGGCGGGAAUGAGACCCGUGAAGUGAAGGCGCGGUCGCCGACGAGGAAGAGUAGGACAUGUGAGACGGGCCGACCCACUUGGGACUAGAGGCUCCGCCACCUCCCAUGCACUACUCCUUGUCGGAGUCCGUGACCUGUCCGUCGUGGUGGACGUGAGGUCAACGAUGGACGUGGACGGGACGACAUGCUCGUCGUGCCACUAACGUGCUCGAAAGUUAGUUGGCCGCGCGUAGGAUGCACAGUUGGCGGCAUUCUCGUCCGCGAUCGCCUGCGCUGCCAGCGCCACCUCCGCGUCGGACUACACCACAAUCACGUCCGACUGUGCCGGGACAGCGUUGCGUGCGGGGACCUGAGCGUGCACGGCCUCGUAGAACGAUAGCUGCUCGGUGACGAAGUUGGGGUUCGCCGCGACCAUGACUGCCAUGGCUUCCUCCCUCGCUGUAGAUUUGGCCCUUCGCCAGCUGAUGCUGCUCGAGGAGGAAGAGUUUGUACUUCUACUCCUCAUGUGCCUGCUGGAAUACCGACAUAGGCGUCGGCUGCUCCUCCCCCAUGGCGGCGUUGAAGUGCGUCUGCGCAACAACGCUUGCUCCAUGGUGAAGCCAGCAUGGACGGGCGCGGGCGCUAGUGCCGAGUCGUCGUCGUAGCCCGUCUCCGUCAUGGGGUCGUCGUCGAAGACCUCCAGGGAGCUGGCCGGCAUGCCGGCCUCUAUUCACCUGGCAUGGGCGGCCACCUGGAGCUUCUGCUCCGUAGAGAGGCUCUGCCACAAUGCAUUCCCGCUCGCGGUCAUGGCGGAUGUGGUGCACGGGAGGAGCAUGCGGAACGAACUUGGUGUGGUGUGGUUUGAGCUGGGAGUGUCUGCCUUUAAAUAGCGGAUGUCAGUGAGCCAAGCGUACGGGUGUGUCAAUGCGUGGACGUCAGAGUUGGUUUCUCGAUUGAUGUGCCUGUUUAAUGGCGGCAGACGAACAGACGGGCAUUGAACAUGCAUAGUAGAUAUCCGUCCCGUCCCGUCCAGUAACGUCUCUCCGGCAUUGAACAAACGCGGACACCGGGCACGCGGCUCGGGUGACGCCCUCGGCCGGCGAGCCACCUCAACGCUGGCACCAGUGAAAGGUCACGUCCGCUCUAGAUCGGUGUUAAUGCGAAGCAACUACUUCGGGCGGGAAAAGGCGCGAGCAAGCGAGAGGGUUUUGCAUGGGUCAGGAGUGUCAGACGCUUGCGUGGCAGCUCUCUAGAUGACCGCAAAGUCCCCCGAUUUGCUUUCGGUUUACGGGGAAAAGGACGUCCGGAGCAUCAGACGGAUGGAUACAGGAUCACGUUGACGGCAAAACACGUCCAAACCUGAGGGAUGUUUUGAGAAGAGUAACUCUCCCGGUGUGUUUAGUUGAGGAAUUACAAAAUCGGCUAUUAUGAAGUCCCUAUGUCUUCAGUUUGAUCUCAAGCUCCGAUGAUUCUUGCUAGCUUCGAGUGGCUACAGGUGGUUGUUUAUGAGUUCGUCCCCAUGUCCGGUAGUGAUAACGAUUCAUUUUUUGCCCCUCCCCCCGCGUCGCCUCCUCUGGCGACUCGGGGGCAACCCCUCUGCGCCGUCGCCGGCUCCUACCCCCCAUCCCCCUCCCCUGCUUCGCCGCCGCUGGAGGGACGCGGGCUAAGCCGCGUGUGCCCCAGGGAUGGCGGCGGCGGGGCUCUCGCGGCGGGCGUAUUCGCGGAUUGGGGUUGAAUGCCUCACGUCGCGGCGGAUCCGGUGGACGGCAGGCGUUGGAUCCGGGCCGGCUGCCUCUCGUCGCGGUGGCUCGGGUGGACGGCGGCGCCUGUGGCCGCGUCGCGCGGCGAGGGCAGCCUCGUGGUGGGCGUUGUCGGCGGAUCUGGAUCGCCCCACGCGAGGUGGCAGCGCCGGGUGCGCGGUACCGGCCUCGCGUGCUAUGGUGGUCCGCGCGGCGGCGUCCUCCCUGUGGCCCCACCCCUGAUGGUUAUGGGCCAGCCGCUGCUCGUGUUGGGGUGGAUCUGGAGGCUGGUUGGUGAUGCGUUUCGCUGGACUGGCUGUAUCCGUCUGGAUCGGCCCGUGGUCGUCCGGCUUGGGGCAAAGGACGGUGGUCGUGAGUGGUGCUGGUGGAAGUGGAGGGGAUGAUGGCGGUGCUGCUGCUGAUGAUGAUCUCACUGCUUCCUGUUGGCGUGGCGGGCGCUUCGGUUUUGGUCUCUGACGGGUGUGCGGUGGCGUGCGUGGAGCGUGUCAGCACACCUGAUGUAUGGCUGCAUCCCAGACCAUGGUGGUUCCUGGCCUUGGGCAGUGCUCCUCUGCUCCUUGUCGGCAUGGUGGCCUGCGCUGCAUCCGGUGGCCUGCGCUCGGGCGGCCGUUGAUGGAUCUGGCGCCUAGUGCUGACGUUUCGCUGUCGGUGGUCUCCGCAGGGUGCGGUUGGCUCCGGCGGCUUGUCGUGCUUCUUCGUCUUUUGAAGGGUUCGAUGGUGGUGGUGGUCGGCUGUCGUCUUAUUGUAGGGGUGUGCUCAAACUCCGGGUGAGAGCCCUGCAUCGACUAUGUCGAUGCCGGCGGCAACGACGUCUAUGGACAUCGUUUUCCUUGCAGGAGGUGCCGUUGUGGAGCUCUAGCACCUACAAUACUUUGCUUUGUGGUAUCCGGGUGAAAACCUAAGAUCGGGCUUGCCGGAUCGGAUGGCGGUGUUGUGUCCUUGACAACACUACCUCCUUGGAGGCGUCGUCUUACGACGGCUUCAGUUGCUGCGUCUGGUUGAGGGUGGUUCGCGUGGUGGUGGUGGUGUGGCCUGCUCAGGACCGAGGGUGGUGUGUUCUUCUUCAGGUGUUUCUCUCCGGCUAUCCUACGUGUGGUCUCCGACCUGCUUCUUUGCAUGCUCAUGACCCUGUUCUGUUGAGGCGAGCCUCGGGCUCUUGGUCUCGUCUUGGUUCAUCUUUGCUCAAUGACGACGCAAUGACGCCUCCCCGCCUUGCUAAUCAUCUUGAACUUCCGUGGCGGAGCUCUCAGUCAAGGUUCGCGUUAAGCGUUGGCACCCGUUGAUUGUGGAUGCUCCUCUGUUGUGCCGUGGGGUUUGAUACGCACACCGGUGCGAUGCGUUAGGCUGUUUGUAGAGUCUUGGUAUUGUGAUCCCUCGACGCACCCCUCAUCUACCUGGUCCUGUUAGUUUGCUAGUUAGGUCUUGCCUUAUGUUGGGCGUCAUGUUCCUCUCCUUUUCUUGUAACACUUGUUACUUGUCUGGUUUUCGGCUCGGUUUUUCUCUUAAACGGGGUCAAGUUGUUAAGGUUUUCGAUCCGGUUUUUCUUAUAAACUGGAUUACUCUCCUAGCACUAUGACCACUUUGAGCAAUAUAUUUAGGUGGAGGGACUCCUCCCCCGGUGAUUAUUAAAAAAAAGAUUCAUUUUUCCCCCCUAUGGUGUGGCGGCAUGGGAUGUCAACGCAAAUUUUAUUUUACUGUAUACCCCUUCCGUCCCAUACUACUUGUGAACUCCAAUUUUUACAUAUAUUCAUUUUUUAUCCAUUUCUGCAACAAGUAAUUCGGGACAAAGGGAAGAACAGUUGGUGUACAUGUUAAAGUUGCUAAAACGCAAGAUUUAGAAGUGCUCAAAUAUUGGCACCCUGCUGUAGGAUGUGCCUAUAAAGCUAUCGAGCCAGGUGCUGGCAUUUUGGAUACGUUCAUCCAGUCGGAUAAAACUGCAAGAGAACACGUAACGAUCCAUCUCGUUGGACCCGGUAAUCUCGUGAAGAAUGAUCGCCCGCUCAAAUAUUUCAUCAGAGACGUCACAGCUUGAGUACCAACAACACAAGAAGGUGGCACACCAACCCAACGACUGGCCCGUAAACCCCCGCGGCGCCCUCGUCCAGCGCGGCCGUCCCGUUGGUGCUCCCCCGUCCCACGCACGGCGGCGCCCUGAGGUAGCUGGCCUGCAGCCCGCCGUACCUGCCCUGGCCGACGCACAGCUCCUCGUUGCCGCGCACGUCGAGCCGCCUGCCGAGCCGCGCCACGAACUCGACCGGCAGGGCGAUCUCCCCGGCGAGCCGGUUCUGGCUCAGGUUGAGCUGCCCCAGGUGCGGCAGCGCGCCGAGGCUCGCCGGGAUCGGCCCGUCCAGCCGGUUCCGGUCCAGCGACAGCGCCAUCAGGCUCCCCAGCGCCGCGAACGCGCCCCGCGGGAUCGGGCCCGUCAGGUUGCACCCCGACAGGCCCAGCACCUGCAGCCGCCGCAGCGACCCGACCACCGCCGGCACCGCCGUGCCGAUGGGGUUGUCCUGCAGGAGCAGGUACUGCAGCUUCGCCAGCCCGGCAAGCGAGGCUGGCAGCGGCCCCGCGAGCCCGUUGUGGCUCAGGUCCAGGAACACCAGCUCCUUCAGAGACCCGACCUCCGGCGGCACAACGCCGGCCAGCCGGUUGUAGCUCAGGUCCGCCUUCUGCAGCAUCUUCAGGCCACCCAACGCCGCCGGCACGCCGCCGCCAAUGCUGUUCCAGCUCAGGUCCAGGAUGGAUAGGCUCGCCAUCCCUCCAAGCUCCUCCGGUAUCUGCCGCGCGCCGAAUCAAAAACUCAUGCUACGUGUCAGUGUCACCAAUCACGGCAUGCACAUUCGUAACGAAGUUAAGGGCGCACGUGAGGUCAACGCACGUACCUCGCCGGUGAUGUUGUUGUAGCUGAGGUCGAGCUGCUGCAACGCGGCGAGGCCGCCGAGCUCCCUGGGGAUCUCGCCGUGGAAGCCGUUCUGGGACAGGCUAAGCACUUGCAGGCUCUUCAGGUUAGUCAAGGUUGCCGGUAUCCGGCCGGUCAGGCCCGGGUUGGACUUGAGGACGAGCUGCUCGAGGGAGGAGGCGUUGGUGAAGAGCACCGGCGGCAGCUCGACGGGGCCGGCGUCGACGAAGCAGCCGAAGAGGGAGAGGGUCCUGAGGUGGGGCAGGCCAAGGAUCGCGGGGGCGGCGAGCCUGGCGCCGGGCCUGCAGGGCGGGGUGGAGACGUCGGGGCCGAAAUGGAGGCGGGUGGCGCGGAGGCGGGUGCUGUCGUCGGGGGCGAGCUCGCACUGGAGGCCCGGCCAGGGCGUGUCCGUGCAGGGCCGCGGGUGGAGCUGCGGCCACGUCGGGUCGCCGAGGAGGUCGGCCAUCACCCUGAAGAUCGCCGCCAGCUCCGACCGCGGCAGCUGCGCCGGCGCGUCUCCUGCGGUGGCCACGCCCACCGCCACGGCUUGGAUCAGGAGGAUGGAGACGCCGGCCGAGAGGAGCGAAGAGGAAGAAGCCAUUUUCCAAGUACGCAGUGGGGUAUAGUGCAAAGGAGAUAGACUGAUGCUCCAGAAUAGAAUAGGUCACCGCAUCUGGAUGCUCUAGCUAGCUUUAUGGGCUUUGAGACUGUGACAAGACACACGCACUCUGACAGUCUUUCACACAUAGUACAUGGUGAAAAAUUAAAAGGGCUGAAGUUCAUUUACUGCUUGCCGAAAAUAUUGCGAACAUAAUCUGACAGACAACAAUGUCAUCAACAAAGAACCAUGCUCGCGUCAAAAAAAAAAAUGCGCUCUCUACUUUCACCACACAGAAAAACAUAGUCAGUGCACGCGUCUAUAACGACGAUGCCGCAGCUGAAGCUCCCUUGCCACCGCCUAGCCAUUCUCCGCCGUCCGCAAACCCACGCCCGUCUUGAACUAUGUUGUUAUCCAUCUAGGAAUCCUUUCGCAACCAGGUACCCUUCGCACCCUUGCCGAUGUCGUCCAUGACGGGCACCACACCGGACAGGUUUUCAAUCAAAUGCCAUUGAGCUUUCUUUUCUUGAACUUUUUAUUGUUUUCUAGAGAAGCACGAUAUGGCGGGGCACUCGGUGAUCGAGGAUGAGUUGUUGUGUGAUGCGCGGUUGACCAUUUAUGUUGACCUACGACAUGCACGUCAUUCAUACACGCAAUGUGAAGUCGCUAACGCAUAGGUGGUACACCAUCUGCAACUCCUUCAUGAAGUUUUGUGUUGUGAUUUACCAAGUGGAGAUAAGGUGGCCAUUGGGCUCGUCAACCAUGGAGAUAGUAAGUGUUGCUUCCUGUUACUCUACAUGUUGGUUAAUUCAUCUAUUCACUCAUUGUUAUUGUACACGUUGUAUAGACUGCAAGCCCUGUCAUGAUGUACUACGGGAUCGAGGGCAGGCCAUUCACACACAUACAUUGUUGGAUAAAACUCAAGGGGCAGUUUAUAUGAGACAAUAUGUGUCGGGCUCUAGUAUCGUUGAAUUCGGAAUUGAUGAUUUCGAAAAACUUGUUUAACAUCUGAUUAUUUUGUUGAAUUUGAACUACUGUUGCACUAGAGAUAUUUGCAUGGAUGAACUGUGAUAUUUCCUAUAAUUACAUUCAGCCUUGGUUUAGUUAAGCGGACGAAAUAUCGUUUGUUUAUGUAAAUUAUGUCUGAACUUUGCUGAAUUCCGUCGUAUUUGAUGAAAUUCGUCUGAUUUGUUAAAGUUCAGUUAGAAAUGGAUGCGGGCAUGGUUGAAUGAUUGGGUCCUGCACCAGUGCGCGUGGAUUGGUCCGAUCGAUACACAAACGGAUACGGUGUCCAAUUUGAAUGUUGAAGAUUCCCCUAUCUCGCGUUAGUAUAUUUUGAAUGGAAGCGUACGUAUUUGAAGAGCGAGGUCAGCUUAAUUGCAAAAUGAUGACCCUCGGGAUGACCUACUCCCUUCAAGUACGCACACUUCUAUUUUGAAUAUACUAACGUGAGAGAGUGUCUGAAAUGCAAGGAUUCAUCGCAAUCAACGAUGGGGGUCGACAACCACUUGUUCUUGUGAGCUUUCUCAUGUAAGUGAGCUUUCCUCACCGCUCAUCAUGAUGAUGUGAUCAUCGAUAUUUUUACGCUCAUAUCAUCAUUGUUUAAACCGGGUAAUCCCGGAUUUUUCAGAGGAUCACUCCGAUAUUGCUACUAAUGACUAAUAAGUGGAAGAAGUUGCAAAAUACUUUGUUUAAUGAGUUUUCACAGGAAAAUUUGCUCAGACAUGGAAGAAUGUCAUUGCAGCAUAGAAAGAAAUAUGAAGUUUGGUGAAGAAGACAAGUCAAUAGGAGGCACUACAACCAAUCCAGAACCCAAGACGUCGCAUGGUACGAGCACACACGCUUAUACGAGCGGUCAUACCGCAUGAUGUCGGCACCAAGGCGUCCACUUGGAAAUUUUCUAUAAUGAAGACAACGUCAGAAUCUCAACAAAAGAACCAACAUUCGCGAAACACAUAACGAAAAGCUAUCUCCAACCCUAGCUGACGUCAAUUCCCAUCUCAUCUCCAUAGUCGCUACCACCAUCAUCACCGCAGCCAUUCUCUCCACAUUAUUCAUACUUGUAAUUGGUGUAUAGCAAUCGGUAACUGCUGUAAGACAUAUUAUCGAUUAAUCAUUUAUCUUUAUGUUGUCUUUAAUGAGUUCAUCUUGUGAUCCGAUUGCCAUGUGUGAGUAAUUCGGUAAGGCAAUAGGUUGAGGCAUGGCCUUGCAACCCUAUCUAUUUGUGUAUGGGGUCGUUGGAAUGCUUUGUGUAUUUCACAUUAUUUGUAUGUGUUCGAUUGCAACAGUGUUCGUUCUAUGGUCCUGCAGGUACCCAGGAUCUCGUAGAUCGAUCAAGGAGGAGAUAAGAAGCGAGGAUGCUUGGAACGCUAUUCUGAACAACAACGGAGAAAGGAUUAGUAUGAUAGUGAAAAGAAACACCUUGGGGAUAAAUCACAUGUAAUCAUUAAACGUCCAAUGCUCUUGUCUGAAGUAAUUCUUAAUAAUCAAGGUAACCCUACGCGACGAGAAGGGCCAUUGGUUGGACAAGUGACUCUUGAUGCAGGACAUGAGUGGUCGUGACGUACUUUGGACACAUUCCACAUUUCAUCGUGUUGUAAGCACAUCGCAAUGGCUGUCUUCUAGGGCUAUGCUAUUCUCAAGACUAGAUGAUACGUUGUGCCAUUGGCGCAAAGACUAAUUGUAGCCAAGAAGUUAAGCAAGCUAUGGGCAGUAUAUUUAACAAAUGUUUGUUUUAUAAAUUAUCCUCAAAGGGUGUUAGCAUGAAUAAGAAUACAUAUGGUAAUGAACACCAAGAAGCAACAGACAAGCUAAUAAACAUGGAUAACGUAUGGUAAUAAGCCUUAAUCUAGAGUGCGUUCGAGGCUCCGGAGAGAGGGAUCCAUCGCCAUGUCAUCACCAACCCUUCUUCAUCAACAAUUUCAUGAUGCUCAUCAUCAUUAGUGAGAAAUUUCUUUGUAGUCAUACUGGACGUAGAUGGAGAUGGAUGAGAUUUAUUAUGUAAUCGAGACAAUUUGUUAGGGCUUAAUCCCUAAUAUCCAUUAUAUGACUUUACUAUGCUUAAUGCUUGUCACUAGGGCUCGAGUGUCAUGAUUUCAGAUCUGAACACUUAUGCUUUUCAUGACUAUAUUUGAGAUGUUGAUCUUACCUGCAAGUUGUUGAUACGUCCAUUUUGCAUCAUGCUUUUAUAUCAAUAUUUAUUGCAUUAUGGGCUGUUAUUACACAUUAUGUCACAAUACUUAUGCCUAUUCUCUCUUAUUUUACAAGGUUUACAUAAGGAGGGAGAAUGCCGGCAGCUGGAAUUCUGGGCUGGAAUAGGAGCAAAUAUUAGAGACCUAUUCUGCACAACUCUAAAAGUCCUGAAACUCCACCAAAGUUGUUUUUGGAAAUAAUAAAAAAUACUGAGCGGAAGAAAUACCAAAGGGGGCCCACACCCUGGCCACGAGGGUCGGGGGCGUGCCCUACCCCCCUGGGCGCGCCCCCUGCCUCGUGGGCCCCCUGUUGGCCCUCCGGUGCCCAUCUUCUGCUAUAUGAAGUCUUUCGUCCGAAGAAAAAUCAUAACAAGCUUUCGGGACGAGACUCCGCCGCCACGAGGCGGAACCUUGGCGGAACCAAUCUAGGGCUCUGGCGGAGCUGUUCUGCCGGGGACACUUCCCUCCGAGAGGGGGAAAUCAUCGCCAUCGUCAUCACCAAUGCUCCUCUCAUCGGGAGAGGGACAAUCUCCAUCAACAUCUUCACCAGCACCAUCUCCUCUCAAACCCUAGUUCAUCUCUUGUAUCCAAUUCUUGUCUCCAAGUCUGGGAUUGGUACCUGUAGGUUGCUAGUAGUGUUGAUUACUCCUUGUAGUUGAUGCUAGUUGGUUUAAUUGGUGGAAGACCAUAUGUUCAGAUCCUAUAUGCAUAUUAAUACCCCUCUGAUUAUGAACAUGAAUAUGGUUUGUGAGUAGUUAAGUUUGUUCCUGAGGACAUGGGAGAAGUCUUGCUAUUAGUAGUCAUGUGAAUUUGGUAUUCGUUCGAUAUUUUGAUGAGAUGUAUGUUGUCUCUCCUCUAGUGGUGUUAUGUGAACGUCGACUACAUGACACUUCACCAUUAUUUGGGCCUAGAGGAAGGCAUUGGGAAGUAAUAAGUAGAUGAUGGGUUGCUAGAGUGACAGAAGCUUAAACCCUAGUUUAUGCGUUGCUUCGUAAGGGGCUGAUUUGGAUAUAUAUGUUUCAAGCUAUGGUUAGGUUUACCUUAAUACUUAUUUUGUAGUUGCGGAUGCUUGCAAUAGGGGUUAAUCAUAAGUGGGAUGCUUGUUCAAGUAAGAACAGCACCCAAGCACCGGUCCACCCAUAUAUCAAAUUAUCAAAGUACCGAACGCGGAUCAUAUGAACGUGAUGAAAACUAGCUUGACGAUAAUUUCCAUGUGUCCUCGGGAGCGUUUUCCUUCAUAUAAGAUAUUGUCCAGGCUUGUCCUUUGCUACAAAAAGGAUUGGGCCACCUUGCUGCACUUUAUUUACUUUUUGUUACUUUUUGCUCGUUACAAAUUAUCUUAUCACAAAACUAUCUGUUACCUAUAAUUUCAGUGCUUGCAGAGAAUACCUUGCUGAAAACCGCUUAUCAUUUCCUUCUGCUCCUCGUUGGGUUCGACACUUUUACUUAUUGAAAGGACUACGAUAGAUCCCCUAUACUUGUGGGUCAUCAAGACUCUUUUCUGACGCCGUUGCCGGGGAGUGAAGCCCCUUUGGUAGGUGGAAUUUGGUAAGAAAAAAUUUAUAUAGUGUGCUGAAAUUUAUUGUCACUUGUUACUAUGGAAAGUAAUCCUCUGAGGGGCUUGCUCGGGGUAUCUUCACCCCGACCAGUAGUGCAAAGAGUUGCUCCUCAACCUACUGAAAAUGAAAAUGUCUACUUUGAAAUUCCUUCGGGUAUGUUGGAAAAACUGCUAGCUAAUCCUUUUACAGGAGAUGGAACAUUACAUCCUGAUGAGCACCUAAUAUAUGUGGAUGAAGUUUGUGGAUUAUUUAAGCUUGCAGGUAUGCCCGAUGAUGUUGUCAAGAAGAAGGUCUUCCCUUUAUCUUUGAAGGGAGAUGCAUUGACAUGGUAUAGGCUAUGUGAUGAUAUGGGAUCAUGGAACUACAAAUGAUUGAAAUUGGAAUUUCAUCAGAAGUUUUAUCCUAUGCAUCUUGUUCAUCGUGAUCGUAAUUAUAUAUAUAAUUUUUGGGCUCGUGAAGGAGAAAGCAUUGCUCAAGCUUGGGGGAGGCUUAAAUCAAUGUUAUAUUCAUGCCCCAAUCAUGAGCUCUCGAGAGAAAUGAUUAUUCAAAUUUUUUAUGCUCGGCUUUCUGAUAACAAUCGCACCAUGCUCGAUACUUCUUGUGUUGGCUCUCUUAUGCUGAAGACUAUUGAAUUCAAAUGGGAUUUAUUGGAAAGAAUUAAACGCAACUCUGAAGAUUGGGACCUCGACGAAGGUAAGGAGUCAGGUAUGACACCUAAGUUUGAUUGUGUUAAAUCUUUUAUGGAUACCGAUGUUUUCCGUAAAUUUAGCACUAAAUAUGGACUUGACUCUGAGAUAGUAGCUUCUUUUUGUGAAUCUUUUGCUACUCAUGUUGAUCUCCCUAAGGAGAAGUGGUUUAAAUAUCGUCCUCCCAUAGAAGUAAAGGUAGCUGCACCUAUUAAAGUUGAAGAAAAGACUAUCACUUAUAAUGAUCCUAUUGUUCCUACUGCUUAUGUUGAGAAACCACCUUUUCCUGUUAGGAUAAAAGAUCAUGCUAAAGCUUCAACUGUGAUUCGUAAAAGCAAUAUUAGAACUUAUGCACCUCCUGAGCAAGUUAAAGUUGAACCUGAUAUUGCUAUUGUUAAAGAUCUCUUGGCUGAUAAUAUUGAUGGGCAUUUUAUUUAUUUGUGUGAUGAAACUGCUAGAAUUGCUAAACCUUGUGCUAAAGAUAAACAUAGACCUGUGGUAGGCAUGCCCGUUAUUUCUAUUAAAAUAGGUGAUCAUUGUUAUCAUGGCUUAUGUGAUAUGGGUGCUAGUGCUAGUGCAAUACCUCAUGACUUAUACAAAGAGAUUAUGCAUGAUAUUGCACCUGCUGAGUUAGAAGAUAUUGAUGUCACUAUUAAGCUUGCCAAUAGAGAUACUAUAUCACCAAUUGGAAUUGUUAGAGAUGUCGAAGUCUUGUGUGGGAAAACUAAGUAUCCUGCUGAUUUUCUUGUUCUCGGUUACCCACAAGAUAGCCUUUGUCCCAUUAUAUUUGGUAGACCCUUCUUGAACACCGUUAAUGCUAGGAUAGAUUGCAAAAAGGAUGUUGUUACCAUUGGUCUAGGUGAUAUGUCUCAUGAGUUUAACUUCUCUAAAUUUCGUAGACAACACCGUGAAUAGGAAUUUCCUAGUAAAGAUGAAAUUAUUGGUCUUGCUUCUAUUGCCGUGCCACCUAGUGAUCCUUUAGAACAAUAUUUGCUAGACCAUGAAAAUGAUAUGUUUAUGAAUGAAAGAAGGGAAAUAGAUGAAGUAUUCUUUAAACAGGGACCUAUUCUGAAACACAACUUGCCUGUUGAAAUCCUAGGGGAUCCUCCUCCACCCAAGGGUGAUCCCGUGUUUGAGCUUAAACCAUUGCCUGAUACUCUUAAAUAUGCUUAGCUUGAUGAAAAGAAGAUAUAUCCUGUUAUUAUUAAUGCUAACCUUUCAGAGAAGGAGGAAGAAAAAAUAUUGAAAACUCUGAAGAAGCACCGUGCUGCUAUUGGAUAUACUCUUGAUGAUCUUAAGGGCAUUAGUCCCACUCUAUGCCAACACAAAAUAAAUUUGGAGAAAGAUGCCAAACCAGUUAUUGAUCACAUAUAAAUAUACUAUCUUGGACAUCUUUUAUGAUUGGGAGCACUCAUUAAAAUAUGACAUGCUAAAGAGUUGAUGUUGGACAAGGAAGACAACGUAAUGGGUUAUGUUUUCUUAUAUCUAAGAUAAAGUAUAUUGUCAUGGAUCAUCCAACAUGUUGAGCUUGCCUUUCCCCCUCAUGUUAGCCAAAUUCUUUGCACCAAGUAGAGAUACUACUUGUGCUUCCAAAUACCCUUAAACCCAGUUUUGCCAUGAGAGUCUACCAUAUCUACCUAUGGAUUGAGUAAGAUCCUUCAAGUAAGUUGUCAUCGGUGCAAGCAAUAAAAAUUGCUCUAUAAAAAUGUAUGAUUGAUUGGUGUGGAGGAAAUAAGCUUUAUACGAUCUUGUGAUGUGGAAGAAAUAAAAGCGACGGACUGCAUAAUAAAGGUCCAUAUCACAAGUGGCAAUAUAAAGUGACGUUCUUUCGCAUUAAGUUUUUGUGCAUCCAACCCUAAAAGCGCAUGGCAACCUCUGCUUCCCUCUGCGAAGGGCUUAUCUUUUAUUAUUAUCUUCUACCUUAUGCAAGAGUCAUGGUGAUCUUCACCUUUCCUUUUACAUUUUAUCCUUUGGCAAGCACAAUAUGUUGGAAAGAUCCUGAUAUAUAUAUAUAUAUAUAUAUAUAUAUAUAUAUAUAUAUAUAUAUAUAUAUAUAUAUAUAUANNNNNNNNNNNNNNNNNNNNNNNNNNNNNNNNNNNNNNNNNNNNNNNNNNNNNNNNNNNNNNNNNNNNNNNNNNNNNNNNNNNNNNNNNNNNNNNNNNNNNNNNNNNNNNNNNNNNNNNNNNNNNNNNNNNNNNNNNNNNNNNNNNNNNNNNNNNNNNNNNNNNNNNNNNNNNNNNNNNNNNNNNNNNNNNNNNNNNNNNNNNNNNNNNNNNNNNNNNNNNNNNNNNNNAGUUAGCAUGAACUAUUAUUGUUGACAUUACCCUUGAGGUAAAAGGUUGGGAGGCGAAACUAUAAGCCCCUAUCUUUCUCUGUGUCCGAUUAAAACUCCGUAACCACAAGUAUUGCGUGAGUGUUAGCAAUUAUGAAAGACUAAAUGAUAGUUGAGUGUGUGGACUUGCUAAAAAGCUCUGACAUAGACUAUUUCUGAUGUUAUGAUAAAUUGCAAUUGCCUCAAUGACUGAGAUUAUAGUUUGUUGGUUCUCAAUGAAGUUUCUGAUUCAUACUUUGCAUUGUGAAUAGAUUAUUACUUGAGCAUAAGAAAUCAUAUGACAAUAUCCAUAUAUGUUGCUAUUAUAAGAUUAAUCAUGAUGCCCUCAUGUCCGUAUUUUAUUUUAUCGACACCUCUACCUCUAAACAUGUGGACAUAUUUAUCAUUAUCAGCUUCCGCUUGAGGACAAGCGAGGUCUAAGCUUGGGGGAGUUGAUACGUCCAUUUUGCAUCAUGCUUUUAUAUCGAUAUUUAUUGCAUUAUGGGCUGUUAUUACACAUUAUGUCACAAUACUUAUGCAUAUUCUCUCUUAUUUUACAAGGUUUACAUAAGGAGGAAGAAUGCCGGCGGCUGGAAUUCUGGGCUGGAAAGGAGCAAAUAUUAGAGACCUAUUCUGCACAACUCCAAAAGUCCUGAAACUCCACGAAAGUUGUUUUUGGAAAUAAUAAAAAAUACUGAGCAGAAGAAAUACCAGAGGGGGCCCACACCCUGGCCACGAGGGUGGGGGGCGUGCCCUACCCCCUUGCCUCGUGGGCCCCCUGUUGGCCCUCCGGUGCCCAUCUUCUGCUAUAUGAAGUCUUUCGUCCGAAGAAAAAUCAUAAGCAAGCUUUCGGGACGAGACUCCGCCGCCACGAGGCGGAACCUUGGCGAAACCAAUCUAGGGCUCUGGCGGAGCUGUUCUGCCGGGGACACUUCCCUCCGGGAGGGGGAAAUCAUCGCCAUCGUCAUCACCAAUGCUCCUCUCAUCGGGAGAGGGCCAAUCUCCAUCAACAUCUUCACCAGCACCAUCUCCUCUCAAACCCUAGUUCAUCUCUUGUAUCCAAUUCUUGUCUCCAAGUCUGGGAUUGGUACCUGUAGGUGGCUAGUAGCGUUGAUUACUCCUUGUAGUUAAUGCUAGUUGGUUUAAUUGGUGGAAGACCAUAUGUUCAGAUCCUAUAUGCAUAUUAAUACCCCUCUGAUUAUGAACAUGAAUAUGCUUUGUGAGUACUUAAGUUUGUUCCUGAGGACAUGGGAGAAGUCUUGCUAUUAGUAGUCAUGUGAAUUUGGUAUUCGUUCGAUAUUUUGAUGAGAUGUGUGUUGUCUCUCCUCUAGUGGUGUUAUGUGAACGUCGACUACAUGACACUUCACCAUUAUUUGGGCCUAGAGGAAGGCAUUGGGAAGUAAUAAGUAGAUGAUGGGUUGCUAGAGUGACAGAAGCUUAAACCCUAGUUUAUGCGUUGCUUCGUAAGGGGCUGAUUUGGAUAUAUAUGUUUCAGGCUAUGGUUAGGUUUACCUUAAUACUUCUUUUGUAGUUGCGGAUGCUUGCAAUAGGGGUUAAUCAUAAGUGGGAUGCUUGUUCCAGUAAGAACAGCACCCAAGCACCGGUCCACCCACAUAUCAAAUUAUCAAAGUACCGAACGCGAAUCAUAUGAACGUGAUGAAAACUAGCUUGACGAUAAUUCCCAUGUGUCCUCGGGAGCGUUUUCCUUCUUAUAAGAUAUUGUCCAGGCUUUUCCUUUGCUACAAAAAGGAUUGGGCCACCUUGCUGCACUUUAUUUACUUUUUGUUACUUGUUGCUCCUUACAAAUUAUCUUAUCACAAAACUAUCUGUUACCUAUUAUUUCAGUGCUUGCAGAGAAUACCUUGCUGAAAACCGCUUAUCAUUUCCUUCUGCUCCUCAUUGGGUUCGACACUCUUACUUAUUGAAAGGACUACGAUAGAUCCCCUAUACUUGUGGGUCAUCAGUUGUAUGCACCAGUAAUCGUUCUGAACCCUAGACCCCUAAGGUGACAAUUAAUUGGGAUAUCGACGAGGAUGACUUUGACUUGAGGAGUUCAUGUAUUCACUAUGUGUUAAUGCUUUAUUCCAGUUCUCUAUUAAAAGGAGCACCUUUUUGCCAUCAUUUAUUAAAAAGAGCGCCAUAAUUACCCUUAGUUUACAUUAGGACCCCACUACCAUGUGAGGGUAGGGCAAAAGAUGGCAUGCAAGUUCUUACCGUAAGCACGUAUGACUAUAUACAGAAUACAUAUGAUUGAUGAAUUGGAGCUAUUGUGUGUCACUCCAUAUUGUGACUGUUACAUAUUGAAUCUCAUCUAAAUAUCCAUCGCUACUCCAUGCCUACUCUUUAAUACUAUUGUCUUUGCUCAAGUUACUGUUACGGCUGCUGCUUGAUUGCUACCAAACUUGUACCACUAUCACUACUACUGUUCCCGUUACUAUUGUUAUCACUACUAUCAUAUUACUGUGCUACUCAUAAAUUGCUGCAAGGAAGUGAUUUUCGGGUGUGGUUGAAUUGAUAACUCAAUUGCUAAGGCUUAUAAAUAUUCUUUGGCUCCUAUGUGUCGAAUCAAUAAAUUUGGGUGAAAUACUACCCAUGAAGACUGUUGUGAUCCCCUAUACUUGUGGGUCAUCAGUGGGCGUGCUAGUCGCGGACGUGGUGGAGAUCACGGAGCCCCGAUGGUGUCUCCCAACGCCCAGCCACCGCCAUGGCCGGAGCAUUACAAGGCUCCAUACUACUACGCCGCCAAGCAGCUCAGUAGGCAGUCCAUGACAACCGCCGCUAGGCAAGUGCCUUACAUCAUCGACGUAAAUGCGGCGCCCCUGCUCAUGUUGGAGUCUUUGUCGCCACAGCUCGUCCUGGCACGGACGGUGGGCGGGGAGCACAUGGGUGCCCACAUGUUGUUCGCUGUUAUGCCUAAAGCGGGGGAGAAGGCGUACGACGACGUGGAGAGGAAGAUGUUCGACAUCAUGCAUGAUGGAGGCGGAGGAGGAGAUGCUUAUGAGGACGGGCAGGUGAAAGACUUAGAUCCCACCCAUUCUGGUAACUACUGAAGGAAAUAUGCCCUAGAGGCAAUAAUAAAGUUAUUAUUUAUUUCCUUAUAUCAUGAUAAAUGUUUAUUAUUCAUGCUAGAAUUGUAUUCACCGGAAACAUAAUACUUGUGUGAAUACAUAGACAAACAGAGUGUCACUAGUAUGCAUCUACUUGACUAACUCGUUGAUCAAAGAUGGUUAUGUUUCCUAGCCAUUGACAUGAGUUGUUAUUUGAUUAACGGGAUCACAUCAUUAGAAGAAUGAUGUGAUUGACUUGACCCAUUCCGUUAGCUUAGCACACGAUCGUUUAUUAUUCUGCUAUUGCUUUCUUCAUGACUUAUACAUGUUCCUAUGACUAUCAGAUUAUGCAACUCCCGUUUACCGGAGGAACACUUUGUGUGCUACCAAACGUCACAACGUAACUGGGUGAUUAUAAAGGUGCUCUACAGGUGUCUCCAAAGGUACUUGUUGGGUUGGCGUAUUUCGAGAUUAGGAUUUGUCACUCCGAUUGUCGGAGAGGUAUCUCUGGGCCCACUCGGUAAUGCACAUCACUUAAGCCUUGCAAGCAUUGCAACUAAUCAGUUAGUUGCGGGAUGAUGUAUUACGGAACGAGUAAGGAGACUUGCCGGUAACGAGAUUGAACUAGGUAUUGAGAUACCGACGAUCGAAUCUCGGGCAAGUAACAUACCGAUGACAAAGGGAACAACGUAUGUUGUUAUGCGGUUUGACCGAUAAAGAUCUUCGUAGAAUAUGUGGGAGCCAAUAUGAGCAUCCAGGUUCCGCUAUUGGUUAUUGGCCGGAGACGUGUCUCGGUCAUGUCUACAUAGUUCUCGAACCCGUAGGGUCCGCACGCUUAAAGUUUCGAUGACAGUUAUAUUAUGAGUUUAUAUGUUUUGAUGUACUGAAGAUAGUUUGGAGUCUCGGAUGUGAUCACGGACAUGACGACGAGUCUCGAAAUGGUCGAGACAUGAAGAUUGAUAUAUUGGACGACUAUAUUCGGACACCGGAAUGGUUCCGGCGGUUAUCGGAUAUAUACCGGAGUACCGGGGGUUACCGGAACCCCCCCGGGGGCUUAAUGGGCCUUAGUGGAAAUAGAGGGCAGUAAGGGGAGUGUGGGGCGCGCCCCCCAAGGCCCAAACCGAAUUGGUUUAGGGCAAGAGGGGCAGGCACCCUCUUUCCUUCUCCUCCUCUCCCUUUCCUUCCCCCUCUCCUACUCCUACUAGGAAUAGGAGGAGUCCUACUCCUAGCGGGAGUAGGACUCCCCCUUGGCGCGCCUCUCCCUGGCCGGCCGCCUCCUUCCCUUGCUCCUUUAUAAAUGGGGGCAGGGGGCACCCCAUAGACACAACAAUUGAUCAUUGAUCUUUUAGCCGUGUGCGGUGCCCCCUCCACCAUAAUCCACCUCGGUCAUAUCGUAGCGGUGCUUAGGCGAAGCCCUGCGUCGGUAGAACAUCAUCAUCGUCACCACGCCGUCGUGCUGACGGAACUCUCCCUCAAAGCUCGGCUGGAUCGGAGUUCGAGGGACGUCAUCGAGUUGAACGUGUGCUGAACUCGGAGGUGCCGUGCGUUCGGUACUUAAUCGGUUGGAUUGCGAAGACGUAAGACUACAUCAACCGCUUUGUGCUAACGCUUCCGCUUUCGGUCUACGAGGGUACGUGGACACACUCUCCCCUCUCGUUGCUAUGCAUCACCAUGAUCUUGCGUGUGCGUAGGAUUUUUUUUUGGAAUUACUACGUUCCCCAACAGUGGCAUCCGAGCCUGGUUUUAUGCGUAGAUGUCAUAUGCACGAGUAGAACACAAGUGAGUUGUGGGCGAUAUAAGUCAUACUGCUUACCAGCAUGUCAUACUUUGGUUCGGCGGCAUUGUUGGAUGAAGCGGCCCGGACCGAUAUUAUGCGUAUGCUUACGCGAGACUGGUUUUACCGUCGUGCUAUGCACACAUGUGACUAGCGGGUGUCAGUUUCUCCAACUUUAGUUGAAGCGAGUGUGGCUACGCCCGGUCCUUGCGAAGGUUAAAACAACACCUACUUUACAAACAAUCGUUGUGGUUUUGAUGCGUAGGUAAGAACGGUUCUUGCUCAGCCCGUAGCAGCCACGUAAAACUUGCAACAACAAAGUAGAGGACGUCUAACUUGUUUUUGCAGGGCAUGUUGUGAUGUGAUAUGGUCAAGGCAUGAUGCUAAAUUUUAUUGUAUGAGAUGAUCAUGUUUUGUAACCGAGUUAUCGGCAACUGGCAGGAGCCAUAUGGUUGUCGCUUUAUUGUAUGCAAUGCAAGCGCCCUGUAAUGCUUUACUUUAUCACUAAGCGGUAGCGAUAGUCGUAGCAUAAGUUAGCGAGACGACAACGAUGCUACGAUGGAGAUCAAGGUGUCGCGCUGGUGACGAUGGUGAUCAUGAUGGUGCUUCGGAGAUGGAGAUCACAAGCACAAGAUGAUGAUGGCCAUAUCAUAUCACUUAUACUGAUUGCAUGUGAUGUUUAUCUUUUAUGCAUCUUAUCUUGCUUUGAUUGACGAUAGCAUUAUAAGAUGAUCGCUCACUAAAUUACCAAGGUAUAAGUGUUCUCCCUGAGUAUGCACCGUUGCGAAAGUUCUUCGUGCUGAGACACCACGUGAUGAUCGGGUGUGAUAGGCUCUACGUUCAAAUACAGCGGGUGCAAAACAGUGGCACGCGCGGAAUACUCAGGUUAAACUUGACGAGCCUAGCAUAUAACAGAUAUGGCCUCGGAACACUGAGACCGAAAGGUCGAGCGUGAAUCAUAUAGUAGAUAUGAUCAACAUAGUGAUGUUCACCAUUGAAACUACUCCAUCUCACGUGAUGAUCGGACAUGGUUUAGUUGAUAUGGAUCACGUGAUCACUUAGAUGAUUAGAGGGAUAUCUAUCUAAGUGGGAGUUCUUUAAUAAUUUGAUUAACUAAACCUUAAUUUAUCAUGAACUUAGUUCUGGUAGUAUUAGCAUAUCUAUGUUGUAGAUCAAUAGCUCGCGAUGUUGCUCCCCGUUUAUUAUUAUAUGUUCCUAGAGAAAACUAAGUUGAAAGAUGUUAGUAGCAAUGAUGCGGAUUGGAUCCGUGAUCUGAGGUUUAUCCUCAUUGCUGCAUAGAAGAAUUAUGUCUUUGAUGCACCGCUAGGUGACAGACCUAUUGCAGGAGCAGAUGCAGACGUUAUGAACGUUUUGACAAAAGCUCGGUAUGAUGACUACUUGAUAGUUAAGUGCACCAUGCUUUAUGGCUUAGAACCGGAACUUCAAAAAUGUUUUGAACGCCACGGAGCAUAUAAGAUGUUCCAAGAGUUGAAAUUAGUAUUUCAGACUCAUGCCCGUGUCGAGAGGUAUGAGACAUCUGACAGUACUUUGCCUACAAGAUGGAGGAGAAUAGCUCAACCAGUGAGCAUGUGCUCAGAUUGUCUGGGUACUACAAUUGCUUGAAUCAAGUGGGAGUUAAUGUUCCAGAUAAGAUAGUAAUUGACAGAAUUCUCUAGUCACUAUCACCAAGUUAAUAGAACUUCGUGAUGAACUAUAAUAUGCAAGGGAUGACGAAAAUAAUUCCCGAGUUCUUCGCGAUGCCGAAAUCGACGAAGGUAGAAAUCAAGAAAAGCAUCAAGUGUUGAUGGUUGACAAGACCACUAGUUUCAAGAAAAGGGCAAAAGGGAAGAAAGGGGAACUUCAAGAAGAACGGCAAGCAAGUUGCUACUCAAGUGAAGAAGCCCAAGUCUAUACCUAAGCCUGAGACUAAGUGCUUCUACUGCAAAGGGACUGGUCACUGGAAGCGGAACUGCCCCAAGUAUUUGGCGGAUAAGAAGGAUGGCAAAGUGAACAAACGUAUAUUUGAUAUAUAGAUUAUUGAUGUGUAUUUUACUGGUGUUCGUAGCAACCCCUCGGUAUUUGAUACUGGUUCAGUUGCUAAGAGUAGUAACUCGAAACAGGAGUUGCAGAAUGAACAAAGACUAGUUAAGGGUGAAGUGACGAUGUGUGUUGGAAGUGGUUCCAAGAUUGAUAUGAUCAUCAUCGCACGCUCCCUACACUUUCGGGAUUAGUGUUGAACCUAAAUAAGUGUUAUUUGGUGUUUGCGUUGAGCAUGAAUAUGAUUUGAUCAUGUUUAUUGCAAUACGGUUAUUCAUUUAAGUUAGAGAAUAAUUGUUGUUCUAUUUACAUGAAUAAAACCUUCUAUGGUCAUACACCCAGUGAAAAUGGUUUGUUGGAUCUCGAUCGUAGUGAUACACAUAUUCAUAAUAUUGAAGCCAAAAGAUGCAAAGUUAAUAAUGAUAGUGCAACUCAUUUUUGGCACUGCCGUUUAGGUCAUAUUGGUGUAAAGCGCAUGAAGAAACUCCAUGCUGAUGGGAUUUUGGAAUCACUUGAUUAUGAAUCACUUGAUGCUUGUGAACCAUGCCUUAUGGGCAAGAUGACUAAAGACUCUGUUCUCCGGAACUAUGGAGCGAGCAACAGAUUUGUUGGAAAUCAUACAUACAGAUGUAUGUGGUCCGAUGAAUAUUGAGGCUCGCGGCGGGUAUCGUUAUUUUCUCACCUUCACAGAUGAUUUAAGCAGAUAUGGGUAUAUCUACUUAAUGAAACAUAAGUCUGAAACAUUUGAAAAGUUUAAAGAAUUUCAGAGUGAAGUUGAAAAUCAUCAUAACAAGAAAAUAAAGUUUCUACGAUCUGAUCGUGGAGGAGAAUAUUUGAGUUACGAGUUUGGUCUUCAUUUGAAACAAUGCGGAAUAGUUUCGCAACUCACGCCACCCGGAACACCACAGCGUAAUGGUGUGUCCGAACGUCGUAAUCGUACUUUACUAGAUAUGGUGCGAUCUAUGAUGUCUCUUACCGAUUUACCACUAUCGUUUUGGGGUUAUGCAUUAGAGACAGCUGCAUUCACGUUAAAUAGGGCACCAUCUAAAUCCGUUGAGACGACACCUUAUGAACUUUGGUUUGGCAAGAGACCAAAAGUUGUCGUUUCUUAAAGUUUGGGGUUGCGAUGCUUAUAAGAAAAAGUUUCAUCCUGAUAAGCUCAAACCCAAAUCGGAGAAAUAUGUCUUCAUAGGAUACCCAAAGGAGACAGUUGGGUACACCUUCUAUCACAGAUCCGAAGGCAAGAUAUUCGUUGCUAAGAAUGGAUCCUUUCUAGAGAAGGAGUUUCUCUCGAAAGAAGUGAGUGGGAGGAAAGUAGAACUUCAUGAGGUAACUGUACCUGCUCCCUUAUUGGAAAGUAGUUCAUCACAGAAAUUUGUUCCUGUGACUACUACACCAAUUAGUGAGGAAGCUAAUGAUGAUGAUCAUGUAACUUCAGAUCAAGUUACUACCGAACCUCGUAGGUAAACCAGAGUGAGAUCCGCACCAGAGUGGUACGGUAAUCCUGUUCUGGAGGUCAUGUUACUUGACCAAGACGAACCUACGAACUAUGAGGAAGCGAUGAUGAGCCCAGAUUCCGCGAAAUGGCUUGAGGCCAUGAAAUCUGAGAUGAGAUCCAUGUAUGAUAACAAAGUGUGGACUUUGAUUGACUUGCCCAAUGGUCGGCGAGCCAUUGAGAUUAAAUCAAUCUUCAAGAGGAAGACGGACGCUGAUAGUAGUGUUACUAUCUACAAAGCUAGAAUUGUUGCAAAAUGUUUUCGACAAGUUCAAGGUGUUGACUACGAUGAGAGUUUCUCACUCGUAUUUAUGCUUAAGUCUGUCCGAAUCAUGUUAGCAAUUGCCGCACUUUAUGAAAUCUGCAAAUGGAUAAACAAAACUGCAUUCCUUAAUGGAUUUUUUAAAGAAGAGUUGUAUAUGAUGCAACCAGAAGGUUUUGUCAAUCCUAAAGGUGCUAACAAAAUAUGCAAGCUCCAGCGAUCCAUCUAUGGACUGGUGCAAGCAUCUCGGAGUUGGAAUAUACGCUUUGAUAAGUUGAUCAAAGGAUAUAGUUUUAUACAGACUUGCGGUGAAGCCUGUAUUUACAAGAAAGUGAGUGGGAGCACUACAGCAUUUCUGAUAAGUAUAUGUGAAUCGGAAAUAAUGUAGAGUUAUUCUGCAAAGCAUAAAGGAGUGUUUGAAAGGAGUUUUUCAAAGAAAGACCUCGGUGAAGCUGCUUACAUAUUGAGCAUCAAGAUCUAUAGAGAUAGAUCAAGACGCUUGGUAAGUUUUUCAAUGAGUACAUACCUUGACAAGAUUUUGAAGUAGUUCAAAAUGGAACAGUCAAAGAAAGAGUCCUUGCCUGUGUUACAAGGUGUGAAAUUGAGUAAGACUCAAAUCCCGACCACGGAAGAAGAUAGAAAGAGAAUGAAAGUCAUUCCCUAUGCCUUGGCCAUAGGUUCUAUAAAGUAUGCCAUGCUGUGUACCAGAUCUAUUGUAUACCCUACACUAAUUUUGGCAAGGGAGUACAAUAGUGAUCUAGGAGUAAGAUCACUGGACAGCGGUCAAAAUUAUCCUGAGUGGAAUAAGGGUAUGUUUCUCGAUUAUGGAAGUGACAAAAGGUUCGUCGUAAAGGGUUACGUCGACGCAAAUUUUGACACUAAUCCAGAUGACUCUAAGUCUCAAUCUGGAUACAUAUUGAAAGUGGGAGCUAUUAGCUAGAGUAGCUCCGUGCAAAGCAUUGUAGACAUAGAAAUUUGCAAAAUACUUACGGAUCUGAAUGUGACAGACCCAUUGACUAAAAUUAUCUCACAAGCAAAACAGGAUCACACCUUAGUACUCUUUGGGUGUUAAUCACAUAGCGACGUGAACUAGAUUACUGACUCUAGUAAACUCUUUGGGUGUUGGUCACAUAUCGAUGUGAACUAUGGGUGUUAACCACAUAAAGAUGUGAACUAUUGAUGUUAAAUCACAUGGCGAUGUGAACUAGAUUAUUGACUCUAGUGCAAGUGGGAGACUGAAGGAAAUAUGCCCUAGAGGCAAUAAUAAAGUUAUUAUUUAUUUCCUUAUAUCAUGAUAAAUGUUUAUUAUUCAUGCUAGAAUUGUAUUCACCGGAAACAUAAUACUUGUGUGAAUACAUAGACAAACAGAGUGUCACUAGUAUGCCUCUACUUGACUAGCUCGUUGAUCAAAGAUGGUUAUGUUUCCUAGCCAUUGACAUGACUUGUCAUUUGAUUAACGGGAUCACAUCAUUAGAAGAAUGAUGUGAUUGACUUGACCCAUUCCGUUAGCUUAGCACACGAUCGUUUAGUAUUCUGCUAUUGCUUUCUUCAUGACUUAUACAUGUUCCUAUGACUAUGAGAUUAUGCAACUCCCGUUUACCGGAGAAACACUUUGUGUGCUACCAAAUGUCACAACGUAACUGGGUGAUUAUAAUGGUUCUCUACACGUGUCUCCAAAGGUACUUGUUGGGUUGGCGUAUUUCGAGAUUAGGAUUUGUCACUCCGAUUGUCGGAGAGGUAUCUCUGGGCCCACUCGGUAAUGCACAUCACUUAAGCCUUGCAAGCAUUGCAACUAAUGAGUUAGUUGCGGGAUGAUGUAUUACGGAACGAGUAAAGAGACUUGCCGGUAACGAGAUUGAACUAGGCAUUGAGAUACCGACGAUCGAAUCUCGGGCAAGUAACAUACCGAUGACAAAGGGAACAACGUAUGUUGUUAUGCGGUUUGACCGAUAAAGAUCUUCGUAGAAUAUGUGGGAGCCAAUAUGAGCAUCCAGGUUGCGCUAUUGGUUAUUGGCCGGAGACGUGUCUCGCUCAUGUCUACAUAGUUCUCGAACCCGUAGGGUCCGCACGCUUAAAGUUUCGAUGACAGUUAUAUUAUGAGUUUAUAUGUUUUGAUGUACCGAAGAUAGUUCGGAGUCCCAGAUGUGAUCACGGACAUGCGAGGAGUCUCGAAGUGGUCGAGACAUGAAGAUUGGUAUAUUGGAAGACUAUAUUCGGACACCGGAAUGGUUCCGGGGGUUAUCGGAUAUAUACCGUUGUACGGGGGGUUACCGGAACCCCCCGAGGGCUUAAUGGGCCUACAUGGGCCUUAGUGGAAAUAGAGGGCAGCAAGGGGAGUGUGGGGCGCCCCCCCAAGGCCCAAACCGAAUUGGUUUAGGGCAAGAGGGGCCGGCCCCCUCUUUCCUUCUCCUCGUCUCCCUUUCCUUCCCCCUCUCCUACUCCUACUAGGAAUAGGAGGAGUCCUACUCCUAGUGGGAGUAGGACUCCCUCCUAGUGGGAGUAGGACUCCCCCUUGGCACGCCUCUCCCUGGCCGGUCGCCUCCUCCCCUUGCUCCUUUAUAUACGGGGGCAGGGGGGCACCCCAUAGACACAACAAUCGAUUGUUGAUCUUUUAGCCGUGUGCGGUGCCCCCCUCCAUCAUAAUCCACCUCGGUCAUAUCGUAGCGGUGCUUAGGCGAAGCCCUGCGUCGGUAGAACAUCAUCAUCGUCACCACGCCGUCGUGCUGAUGGAACUCUCCCUCAAAGCUCGGCUGGAUCGGAGUUCGAGGGACGUCAUCGAGUUGAACGUGUGCUGAACUCAGAGGUGCCGUGCGUUCGGUACUUAAUCGAUCGGAUCGUGAAGACGUACGACUACGUCAACCGCGUUGUGCUAACGCUCCCGCUUUCGGUCUACGAGGGUACGUGGACACACUCUCCCCUCUCGUUGCUAUGCAUCACCAUGAUCUUGCAUGUGCGUAGGAUUUUUUUGAAAUUACUACGUUCCCCAACAACUACACCCACACAGAGCGGGGUUACACCCAAACCGAUACGCAGUCCUACACCCAGACCAGCAUGGGUACACAACAACAGGAUUGGGUUGCUUGACAGGCGACGGAGGAGGAGGAUGGCGAGGACGAUGAUCCGGAUGAUUUUGCUGGCGAUUCGAAGAAGAAGGGUAGAGGAGAAAGCUUCAACAUGCGAGAGGAUGAGCUACUUGUGCGAUGCAUGGUUUCCACUAGCCUCGACCCGAUCCAUGGCACAGAGCAAAAGGGCUCAACUUCUUGGGCCAACAUUCACACAUGGUUCCAUGAGGACAAGCAUUUCGCGCCCUACUCCGACGCGGUCGCCUGCGGCCGUGAAUCAAAGUGCCUCAACCAUCAAUGGUACACCAUCCAAUAGGUCGUGUCGAAGUAUUGCGGCCACUUGGCGCAUCUCAUCACAUGGUGGCCUAGUGGUGCGCAAAUCACCGAGCAAGUAAGUUCAUUUGGCCGGAUAUGCAUAGUUUAGUUGAUCACUAGCCGGAUAUGCCUAGUUCAGUUGAUCACUAGCCGGAUAUGCAUAGUUUUGUUGAUAACUAGAUGGAUAUGCAUAGUUUUGUUGAUCACUAGCCGGAUAUGAAUAGUAUUGUUGAUCUUUUGCCGGAUAUGCAUAGUUUUGUUGAUCAUUGGAUAGACAUGCAUAGUUUUGUUGAUCACUAGCCGGAUAUGCAUCGUUUGGUGGUCGGAUAUGCAUAGUUUUGUUGAUCACUAGCCGGAUAUGCAUAGUUUUGUUGAUCACUAGCCGGAUAUGCAUAGUUUUGUGGCCGGAUAUGCAUAGUUUUGUUGACAGUGUUUUAUUUUGUAGCCUUCUCGUGCGUGUACGGUGUUUAAUAAGUUGGAGAAAAAAAAUUCACCAUGAUGCAUUGUUGGUUGGAGUUGAAUGGGCGACCAAAAUGAAACGUAUACAUAGCCAAGACCGCUGCCCAAGCCACCGAGAAAGAAACCGGUGACCCAACCGAUCCAACAAAAGAACAACCAAGAAGGUUAGAAGAGAGUUUCGGGGAAAGAAGUGGGAGGAGGAGAGGGCGAAGCAAGAAGGUGCGGCGGUCAAGAUGACGGUGAGGUUCGAGGACAUCUUGUCCAAGGAGGAGGCAUACGUCAAGUGCUCGGACAUCGAUAAGGAAAAAAGGCUGAGAGGUCCAAAUGAUUAAUGGAGGCGACAGGGAAGAAGAUAGAGCUCGAAGAGAAGAGGGCCAUGAUCGAAGAGAAAAAGGUCAUGCUCGAGGAGAAGAAGGCAAUGCUCGAAGAAAAGAAGGUGAUGAUCGCAGCCGAUGCGGAGGACGCCAAGAUGUUAUCCUUCUAUUUGGAGUCUUUGGAUGCCGACGCAAGGAUGAUCGUGCAAGCCGCCCGCAAGAAGAUUUUGCAGCGGCAGAAAGAUGAGUUGGAGGCGGUAGACAAGGAGGAGGAAGAGGAGACGACGGCAGAGUAGAGCCGGAGGCUACAUACGCGGCGGUGACUGAUAACCCACAAGCAUAGGGGAUCGCAACAGUUUUCGAGGGUAGAGUAUUCAACCCAAAUUUAUAGAUUCGACACAAGGGGGGACCAAAGAAUAUUGUCAAGUAUUAGCAGCUGAGUUGUCAAUUCAAACACACCUGAAGAUUAAUUAUCUGCAGCAAUAUGAUUAGUGGCACAGUAGUAUGGUAAUUUUGAUAGUAGUUGUAACAGUAAUGGUAACAAUGAUAGCAAUGAUUUUGUAGCAAGUGUAACAAUAGAAAUAGCAAUAGUAACUUAGCAAGAAAAAUAUAUGAAAAACUCGUAGGCAUUGGAUCGGUGAAUUCGUUGGAUGAUAUUCAUCAUAUAACAGUUGUAACCUAGGGCGAUACGGCACUAGCUCCAGUUCAUAAAUAUAAUGCAGGCAUAUAUUCCGUAAAUAGUCAUACGUGCUUAUGGAAAGAACUUGCAUGACAUCUUUUGUCCUACCCUCCCGUGAUAGCGGGGUACACAAGGAAACUAAGGGAUAUUAAGGCCUCCUUUUAAUAGAGAACUAGAACAAAGCAUUAGCACAAAAUGAAUACAUGAACUCCUCAAAUUACGGUCAUCACCGGAAAGUAUCCCGACAAUUGUCACUCCAGGGUUUGCGGAUCAUAACACGUAAUAGGUGACCAUAACUUGCAAGAUCGGAUCUAGAACAUAGAUAUAAUGGUGAUAACAUAAAUGGUUCAGAUCUGAAAUCAUGGCACCCGGGCCCAAAGUGACAAGCAUUAAGCAUGGCAAAGUCAUAGCAACAUCAAUCUCAGAACAUAAUUGAAAGAUCGUGGAUGUCGCCUAGAGGGGGGGGUGAAUAGGCGCUUUAAAAUAAUUACGGUUUAGGCUUGAACAAAUGCGGAAUAAACCUAGCGGUUAAUUUGUCAAGCACAAAACCUACAACAACUAGGCUCACCUAUGUGCACCAACAACUUAUGCUAAGCAAGAUAAACAACUAGGUGAUAGCAAGAUAUAUAACAAGAAACAAUAUGGCUAUCACAAAGUAAAGUGCAUAAGUAAAGGGCUCGGGUAAGAGAUAACCGAGGCACGCAGAGACGAUGAUGUAUCCCGAAGCUCACACCCUUGCGGAUGCUAAUCUCCGUUUGGAGCGGUGUGGAGGCACAAUGCUCCCCAAGAAGCCACUAGGGCCACCGUAAUCUCCUCACGCCCUCGCACAAUGCAAGAUGCCGUGAUUCCACUAAGGGACCCUUGAGGGCGGUCACCGAACCCGUACAAAUGGCAACCCUUGGGGGCGGUCACCGAACCCGUACACUUUGGCAACCCUUGGGGGCGGUCACCAGUACCCGUCAAAUUGCUCGGGGCGAUCUCCACAACCUAAUUGGAGACCCCGACGCUUGCCCGGAGCUUUACACCACAAUGAUUGAGCUCCGAACACCACUAACCGUCUAGGGCGCCCAAGCACCCAAGAGGAACAAGCUCAAGGGCACCAAGCACCCAAGAGUAAUAAGCUUCUCAACUUGUAACUUCCACGUAUCACCAUGGAGAACUCAAACCGAUGCACCAAAUGCAAUGGCAAGGGCACACGGAGUGCCCAAGUCCUUCUCUCUCAAAUCCCACCGAAGCAACUAAUGCUAGGGAGGAAAAUGAGAGGAAGAACAAGAAGGAGAACACCACGAACUCCAAGAUCUAGAUCCAAUGGGUUCCCCUCACAUAGAGGAGAAAGUGAUUGGUGGAAAUGUGGAUCUAGAUCUCCUCUCUCUUUUCCCUCAAAAACUAGCAAGAAUCCAUGAAGGGAUUGAGAGUUAGCAAGCUCGAAGAAGGUCAACAAUGGGGGAAGAACACGAGCUCAAAGGAUAAGGUUCAUUGGGGAAGAAGACCUCCUUAUAUAGUGGGGGGAACAAUCCAAUCGUUACCCCCACUUCAGCCCCGCAGAGAGCGGUACUACCGCUCGGCCAGCGGUACUACCGCUUGGCCCUAUAAGCGGUACUACCGCUCCCCCUCGCGGUACUGCCGCUGGGCCCAGAGCGGUACUACCGCGGUGGCAGGGCGGACCUACCGCAAACGAGCGGUACUACAGCCCCCACUGCCGCGGCUAGUACCGUAAAACCCGACACGAAAAAGACCCCUCGAAUCGAGGCGGUACUAGCACGAGACCGCAGCGGUACUACAGCUGGGGGCUACCAGCGGUACUACCGCUCAGGAGCGGUACUACCGCUCUAGAGCGGUACUACCGCUUGUAGCACCCAAGCGGUACUACCGCUCCGGCCCGCGGUACUACCGCCAGGAAACCAAAAUUGCCAUAACUUCUGCAUAUGAGCUCCGAAUUGAGCAAACUCAAGCUUGUUGGAUUGAGGAAGACGAGUAGCAUCAAAACAGAGGAGUGAAACCUCCAACCGAGAAGAGGCAGGGGAGGUAUGCCAACAAAUAGAGGAGUGAAACCUCCAACCGAGAAGAACCGGCAUAACCUCCAACAUCGAAAACAUCAUAGAAGAUGCGAGUGAACUCCGUUUUCGAUGAACUCGAGAUUGUCAUCAAGAUGACCAUAAGCUCCAAAACUCACAAAGAGAAGAACCAAACAAGAACCAAUAAAGAUGAUGCAAGGAUGCAAUGGUUUGAGCUCUCUACGAAUGAUACGAUCAAGCUACUCAUCGAGAGCCCCCCUUGAUAGUACGGCAAUCGAUCCUAUAACCCGGUCUCCCGCCUACCAUCAUGAGACCGGUAAAAUAGAAAACCUAUCAAGAGCAAACCUUUGCCUUGCACAUGGUCCACUUGAGCUAGAUGAUGACGAUCUUGACUCCCUCAAGUUGGACCACCUUUCUUGGUUGCGUUGGCUCGAUGAAGACUAGUUGAUUGCUCUCCCAUGCUCCAUUAUGGGUGAGCCACUCUUCCGCACAUCUUCACAAGUCCAUUGUCACCACAAUGGACGGCAAGCUUCAAGCAUUUGAUCUCUUCAUGAUGCUUCACUUGAACUUGCACACCGCAACAUCUUCACAAGUCCAUUGUCACCACAAUGGACGGCAAGCUUCAAGCAUUUGAUCUCUUCAUGAUGCUUCGCUUGAACUUGCACACCGCAACCUAACCCCACAAAGAACUCUCACGAAGAUCAUGGGUUAGUACACAAAGCGUAAUUGACAAUGCUCACCACACCAUGGGAUCGCUUGAUCCCUCUCGGUACAUCUUCUACGCUUUGUGAGUUGAUCAAGUUGAUUCACUCUUGACUUAGUCUUGAUCAACCAUGAAUCUUUUCAACUCUCUUCAUUUGGAUGAUGUCUUGAAGAUAUACAUGAAUGAUCACACAAUCUUCUUCUACAAGACAUGCUUGCAAUAAGCUCAACUCUCACAUGACCAAUCUUUGGAUAAUUCCUUAAUAACACCUUGGUCACCACAUAAACUCCUUGAAACCAACACAUGAACUUCAAGAAAUGCCUAUGGACAAAUCCUUCAAAUAUAACUCAAGGCAACCAUUAGUCCAUAGAGAUUGUCAUCAAUUACCAAAACCAAACAUGGGGGCACCGCAUGUUCUUUCAAUAAUGGAUACUAGGGAUCAGGCCCUAACAAAACUAACUCGAUUACAUGAUGAAUCUCAUCCAACCCUCUCACCGACCAGCGAGCCUACGAAGGAAUUACUCGCUCCGGUUGGGGAGCAUCAUGGAAUUGGCGAUGGAGAAGGGUUGGUGAUGAUGAAGAUCAAAGAUACCCCUCUCUGAAGCCCCAAACGGACUCCAGAUCUAGCCUCCCGAUGAAGAACAGGAGGCGACGGCGGCUCCGUCUUGUGAAACGCGAUAAUUCUUCCUCAUUGAUUUUUUUCUCUGAAAAUAGGAUUUUAUAGCAUCGGAGAUAGGGUCAGCGGGGCCACCAGGUGGGCACAACCCACCUGGGCGCGCCAGGAGGGGGGUGCACGCCCUGGUGGGUUGUGCUCACCCAGGGGUCCCCCUUCGAUGGUUCUUGGCUCUAGUAUUUUUCUUUUAUUCCAUAAAAAAUCUCCAAAAAGUUCCGUUCCAUUCCGAGAACUUUUAUUUCUACACAAAAACAACACCAUGGUAGUUCUGCUGAAAACAGCGUUAGUUCGUUAGUUUCAUUCAAAUCAUGCAAAUUAGAGUCCAAAACAAGAGUAAAAGCGUUAGGAAAAGUAGAUACGACGAAGACGUAUCAACUCCCCCAAGCUUAAACCUUUGCUUGUCCUCAAGCAAUUCAGUUGAUAAACUGAAAGUGAAAAAGAAAAACUUUUACGAACUCUUUUGCUCUUGUUUACAUAAUAAGCUUGAUAGCACCCAGGUUUUCAGCAAAGAUUAUGACUAACCAUGUCGACAAUAACUCUUAAAAAUUAUAUUAACUCAUAUCAAUGGCAUAAGCAACUAGCAAGCAAUAAUAAAGCAUCUCAAACGACAACACUUUGUUAAAGCAAUCAUGAUAUAAUAUGACAACAGUGUUAUCUCGCUAGCCCUUUCUGAGACCGCAAAGCAUAAAUACAGAGCACCUCCAAAGUUCAAGCAGCGACUAAACAUUAUAAUUCAUGGUAGAAAAGAUCCAGUCAUGAUACAUCCAACAUUAGCUACACACAAUGAAUGAGGAUGACAAUAGUGCUCUCAGAUCUGGCGCUUAUUUGAGAAGGUGAUGACACAACAUAAAAGUAAAUAGAUAGUCCCUUCGCAGAGGGAAGCAAUGAUUUGCAGCGGUGCCAGAGCUCAUAUUUUAAAACGGAGAUAAAUGAAAUUUUGAGAAAUGCACCCUUCCUGUUUACUUCGUGACCAUUGAUUAUCGAUAUCUUCCAUGCUAAACACAUUAGUGGCAGUUCCCAAGCGAUAAUAGUAAAGGUUUACUCCCCCUCCACCAACAAACACACUCCACGGCUAGCCAAAUCCACGGGUACCGUCCAUACCAACAUCAGUCCUGGGGGAGUUUUGUUUAAUUAUUUGCAAUUUUUGAAUUCGGGACUGGGAAUCCCUAUUACCGCCCCUCUCGUGCAAGGACGAGUGAAUAAACACUCAUCAUGAGAAUAACCCGCUUAGCAUGGAAGAUAUUGACUACCUCCUAUCACUCUAUGAACAAUCCAGGCACACAAAAACAUAUGUUUAUUUGAAGUUUUUAGAGGUAGCACAUGCAAAUUUACUUAGAACGGCAGGGUAAUACCGCAUAUAGGUAGGUAUGAUGGACUCAUAUGGAAUUACUUGGGUUUUAGGAUUUUGAUGCACAAGUAGUAUUCCCGCUUAGCACAGGCGAAGGCUAGCAAAUAGGUUGAGAAGCGUAGCCAGCUAGAGAGCAAACACGGUCAUGAACAUGCAUUAUGCAUAAGUGACAUUGGAUACUAGCAUGAGUAGGAUAUGAACACCAUGAACAUAAAUAUCAUAGAGGCUAUGUUGGUUUUGAUUCAACUACAUGCAUGAACAUGUGCCAAGUCAAGCCACUCAAACAUUCGGAGGAGGAUACCAUAUCAUCAUACCACAUCACAAUCAUUUUAAUGCAUGUUGACAUCCAAGAUAAAUCAUUAUCCACUCCUAGCUACUUAAGCAUGUCAUGAGAAACUAUAAUCUCUAAUUGUCAUUACAAACAUGUUUGAUCAUAAUAGGCUGAAUCAUGGACACUAGGUUAAACAUAUUUACAAAAAGAAAACAAGUUGAGUUCAUACCCGUUUCUCUCUGCCACAGCCAGUUCAUCAAAUAUCGUCAUUAUUGCCUUUCACUUGCACGAACGAAUGAUAUGAAAAUAAUAAUAGUGCAAGAGUGCCAUGGACUAAGCUGGAAUCUGCUAACAUUUUAUUCAAGAGGAGAAGACAAGGCAAUUUGAGCUCUUUGUUAGAUCAACAAUAAUGCAUAUGAGAGCCACUUAACGUUUUCAUCGUGGUCUUCUCCUCGGUAUGACUCGAUGAAAGGAAAAGAAUUUCAGAGAAACACACUGAAAUAUUUUUGGAGUUUUUAGUUUUCCUUGAGCAAAGCAAAUUAAAGAUAGAAACAAAAACAAGAAAAACUAUUUACACGGGAAAGCUCCCAACAAGCAAAAGAAGAACAAGGAAAUCCUUUUGGGUUUUCUUUUAAAUACUACAACUAAUUAAACUAGAAAGAAAAACAAAAAAGAAGCAAGGAAUAUUUUGUUUGGAUUUUCUCAAAGUUUUUCAAACACACAAGAAGAAAGCGAGAAAAUGAAUCUAGCAUGGAUAAUACAAUGAAAAAGUGUGAACACCGACAACUGGAAUGAAAUGUGUGAACAUGAAUGUAAUGUCGGUGGAAAUACGUACUCCCCCAAGCAUAUGCUUUUGGCCUAGCUCGGUAAUCACCGUCUGUGGCUUGCAUAACAAUCAGAGUGAUAGCUCACGGAGGCUCUUGGUGCAGCCUCCUCAGCUCGUCGAACAGCCACAACCGCUGCGUUGUGUGCACGAGCCUCGCUCUCAAGAACAUAAUACCUUCCUUUGCUGUGAUAAUCAAAGAGAGCAGGCGCAUGCAAAUAGGUGUGCACAACGGAAUGUUUACUAAACAACAAGUUGUAAGUAUAAUUAGUGAUCUCGCCCGUAAGGAACUUAUGGCGCUUCAUGGCCUCAAAGUCUAGAUGCUGAGUGGGUAGGAUGGGGUCUUUUUUGCUUGCCAUCAUUAUUAACAAACAGAGCCAAACAGAAGAUAUUGCAAUGCCAAUCAAAGCAUGCUAUUGACAUAGGCCACAGGCUCUCCACAGAAGUACACAAUACAUACAUGAUCUAAGGAGCGACAAGUCUGUCAUACCAAUGGUGAGCAGAGUGGCUUCUUCAGCAGGUGUUCCGACUCAUCGGCAUCCGGCUUCUGCCACUGCACGACAUGGAGGAACACAUGGUUCUUCGUCUUCUCGAAGUUCCAUGGCACGUGCUCCCUUAUGAGUCCCAGGAACAAGUUCAUGUCCAUGUACAUCCCACAUCCAACCCUAUACACAAACAUACAAAGAAAGAAACAAUUUGUGUUAUAAUUUCUUUAGUGAUAAUCAAUGAUUAUGACCAUAGUUAAUCGCAAGGAAGAUUAACCAGUGAAGAUAAGCAUGGACCAACAUUUUAGCAGAUUCUUCUUUUUAGUGAACACCAUACGGGCAAGUUCCUGGAUUGUAAUAACACCACAACAGGAAAAUCUGAUAAACAAAUGGCACAACUAAUUGGUCAUUUCACAAAACCAGCCAAAUACGCUGUCUUCCUUAUUAUAAUCAAAUUGCAGUAGAGGACUCACAAAAUUGCAGUUGGGGACUCACCUUGUAGAUGCAGGCUAGCGUAUCUUGGCGAGGAGGCAGUGGCUAUGGGCUUGGAGGGCCCAAACGUCGCGCUGGCUUCAUUCUGCUCUGCUCGUGACUGUCGCCGCAUCCGCUCACGUGACACGCCGAUAUGCCAUCAGCCGGUGCUGCUCCUCCACAGUCUACCGCCGCAACUCUUUGCAGUCAUUGCUGCCACGAGCCCGUCGGCCACUGUUGCUCCUCCGGCUGCCGCAUCCAGUCGUUGUUGCUCUUCUUGAGCGGUUGCUUGUGCCGCUGUGCUGUGCGUCCCUAUGCAGGCGAGGGAGAGAAGUAGGAGACGUGUGUGGGGCCGAGGCUACGAGCAGGGAUUAGGCGACGGUCGCGGUAACCCUAGCCGCCACUCGAGGGAGGAAACAAGAGAGAGGAUGAAAUUGAGGAGACGAGCAGAGGGAGCAGAGGAUCGAUGAUUCAACACGCUUUCACCCUUUUUUCUUUUCCUAUACGGCACAGUAAAAAUUGACGUUGUAUAGCCCAACGUCCGCUGUUAUGGCGAUGCUUAUUGUGUUUGAUGGAGAACUUCUACCAACAUUCCAUCCAUCAAAAGGUAUUUGACAAGGCGACCCCAUAUCACCUUACCUGUUCUUGCUUUGUGGGGAAGGAUUUUCGUCAAUGCUAACAAAUUAUGAUGGCGGAUGGAUUGAAACGUGGCAUUAAAGCGGGAUUGAGGUCCCCCUUGAUCUCACAUAUACUAUUUGCAGACGAUGGCCUAAUCUUCAUGAAGGCCGACGGAAGGAGUUCUAGUCGGCUCAAUGAGAUUUUGGAGGCUUUUAGUCCGGGCUCUGGGCAGCGAGCAAAUAAGUUGAAAAUUUCAGUUUUCUUCACCCCCAAGUGUGGCAUGUCAGUUCGUGUAGGGGUUCAAAAUGCGUUACGAAUUCACAGAGUAGCCCUUACAGAGAAAUACCUCGAUCUCCCAGCAGCAGCGGGAAGGGUUACGGAGCAACAAUUUCAACAUAUAGUUGAGAGGUCAAGGAGUAGAGUGCAAGGAUGGUGUGAAAGAUUGCUAUCAUGUGCAGCAAAAGAGGUCCUCCUUAAGACAGUGAUCCAAGCUUUGCCAACCUAUUCUAUGAGUUGUUUCCAGCUCACAAGAGGUUUGGGCCACAAAGUGACGACAUUAAUGGUGCACGCUUGUCUGAGGCUCCUGUACACCUUGUCAUACAACAGGCCUCCUAGUCCUUGUCAUGGUCCAAGUAUUGGUGGGCUAGAUCGUUGGACAAGCGAGGUAUGCAUUGGCAAGCAUGGGACAAGAUUUCAGUUUCGAAGUUUAGAGGCGGCAUGGGUUUCCAAGACUUGCAAAUGUUCAAUGAUGCAAUGCUAACAAAGCAAGCAUGGCGACUGCUGAUUAAUCUAGAUAGCCUUUGUGCUCGAGUCCUGAGGGGACGUUACUAUCCAGAUGGGAACUUUUGCAGGCCACUUGUCCUGCAAACGCUUCCGCAACUUGGCGAGCUAUAUGCCAUGGCAGAGAUGCCCUAAAGACGGAACUUAUCUGUUGUAUUGGAGAUGGAAGAACAACCGAGAUUUGGCAUGAUAGUUGGAUCUCUGGAACAAUGACAAGGAGGCCUGUUGCAUGCUUGUCUGAGGCUCCUGUACACCUAGUAGCAGAUCUACUAGAUGAGGAAUAUGGGGAUUGGAAUGUUGAGUUGGUUUGCCAGACUUUCAUUGCCCCUGACGCUAAUGCUAUUCUUGGUAUGCCACGACCAUGAGCAUCAUUUGGUGACUUUUGAGUGCGGGAUGGAGAGAAAAAUGGUGUUUUCUCCAACCGAUCAGCUUACCGGCUGUUGUUGCAAAAUAAAUUGGCUCAAAUUCUGAGGCAACCAGCUCUUCACAUGGGGAGCCGAGUUGGAAAUCACUGUGGAAGUUAAGAGUGCAGCCUAAAAUCAGAGUCUUUUGGAGGAGAGUGAUGAAAUUUUUCCUUCCCACAUCCAAUGGACUUUUGCGGCGACAUGUGAGGGAGGAUGCCAUAUGUCCCAUGUGUGGUAAUGAUGAUGAGACAUUAUUUCAUACUAUGAUUCAAUGUGAUCAUGUUGUUAUGUUCUGGAAUGCGGCGUCGUAUUUCUUUAAUUUGAAGCUUCCUCGGUUGCACCCUGUAACGUGGAAGAAGGAUUUGCUAGACCCAGAAUUUAUUAAGAAGGAUCAUGCUGCUAUUGCUAUUUCAGUUAUGUGGGCAAUUUGGAGUAAUGGAAACAAGUAUGUGUUGGGGAACGUAGUAAUUCAAAAAAUUUCUUACGAUCACGCAAGAUCUAUCUAGGAGAAGUAUAGCAACGAGUGGGGAGAGUGUGUCCACGUACCCUCGUAGACCGAAAGCGGAAGCGUUUAGUAACGCGGUUGAUGUAGUCGAACGUCUUCACGAUCCAACCGAUCCAAGUACCGAACGCACGACACCUCCGUGUUCAGCACACGUUCAACACGAUGGCGUCCCUCGAGCUCUUGAUCCAGUUGAGGACGAGGAAGAGUUUCGUCAGCAUGACGGCAUGGUGACGGUGAUGAUGAAGUUACCGGCGCAGGGCUUCGCCUAAGCACUACGACGAUAUGACCGAGGUGUCAAACUGUGGAGGGGGGCACCGCACACGGCUAAGAGAUUGUCUGUUGUGCUUUGGGGUGCCCCCCGCCUCCGUAUAUAAAGGAGAGAGGGAGAGAGGCCGGCCCCCUAGGGGCGCGCCAAGUGUGGGGAGUCCUACUAGGACUCCCAAGUCCUAGUAGGAUUCCCUUUUCCUUUUUGAAGUAGGAGAGAGGGAAAGAGGGAAAGAGAGAGGGAGUAGGAAAGGGCAAGGGGGGCGCCGCCCCCUUCCCUAGUCCAAUUCGGACUCCAUGGGGGGGGGCGCCUCCUCCCCUUGGCCUGCCUCCUCUUCUCCACUAAAGCCAACUAAGGCCCAAUACUUCCUCGGGGGGUUCCGGUAACCACCCGGUACUCCGAAAAAUACCUGAAUCACUCCGGAACCACUCGGUGUCCGAAUAUAACCUUCCAAUGUAUCAAUCUUUACCUCUCGACCAUUUCGAGGCUCCUCGUCAUGUCCGUGAUCUCAUCCGGGACUCAGAACAAACUUCGGUCAUCAAAUCACAUAACUCAUAAUACAAAUUGUCAUCGAACGUUAAGCGUGCGGACCCUACGGGUUCGAGAACUAUGUAGACAUGACCGAUACAUAUCUCCGGUCAAUAACCAAUAGCGGAACCUGGAUGCUCAUAUUGGCUCCUACAUAUUCUACGAAGAUCUUUAUCGGUCAAACCGCAUAACAACAUACGUUGUUCCCUUUGUCAUCGGUAUGUUAUUUGCCCGAGAUUCGAUCGUCGGUAUCAUCAUACCUAGUUCAAUCUCGUUACCGGCAAGUCUCUUUACUCGUUCCGCAAUGCAUCAUCUCGUAACUAACUCAUUAGUCACAUUGCUUGCAAGGCUUAUAGUGAUGUGCAUUACCGAGAGGGCCCAGAGAUACCUCUCCGAUACACGGAGUGACAAAUCCUAAUCUUGAUCUAUGCCAACUCAACAAACACCUUUGGAGACACCUGUAGAGCAUCUUUAUAAUCACCCAGUUAUGUUGUGACGUUUGAUAGCACACAAAGUGUUCCUCCGGUAUUCGGGAGUUGCAUAAUCUCAUAGCCAGAGGAACAUGUAUAAGUCAUGAAGAAAGCAAUAGCAAUACAACUAAACGAUCAUUAUGCUAAGCUAACCGAUGGGUCUUGUCCAUCACAUCAUUCUCCUAAUGAUGUGAUCCCAUUCAUCAAAUUACAACACAUGUCUAUGGUCAGGAAACAUAACUAUCUUUGAUAAACAAGCUAGUCAAGUAGAGGCAUACUAGGGACACUCUGUUUUGUCUAUUUAUUCACACAUGUAUUCUUGAGCGGGACUCCACGGGGUCUUUUCUUGUUGCCAGAUGCUCAAAACAUAUGGCCAUUGAUCCUUUUACUGCGAAACUAUUGGCUUGCCGUGAUGCUACGAGACUUGCUCUGGAGAAGUCAUUUUCUCAUGUAAUUAUUGAGUCUGAUUGUCAAAACCUUUGCAACAUGUGGAUGCAAGGAGAUGACAUGUCCAUAGGAGGUCAUGUCUUUAGAGAGAUUUCGGUAUUAUCUCUCGAGUUUUCAGGGAUUCAAACUUGACUACACACGCAGGGACGCUAAUGUGGUCGCUCACAGCUGUGCUAGACAUUCCCUUCCUUUAGCUGUUAAUCAGUGUCCUUUUGAUGUAAUCCCUGAGUUUCUGACUGAGCCUGUUCAAUCAGAUAUGACCCGCUUGAAUGAAUAAAUUGCCAGUAGGGCGGUUCUAAAAAAGAGAGAGCCGUAGAGCANNNNNNNNNNNNNNNNNNNNNNNNNNNNNNNNNNNNNNNNNNNNNNNNNNNNNNNNNNNNNNNNNNNNNNNNNNNNNNNNNNNNNNNNNNNNNNNNNNNNNNNNNNNNNNNNNNNNNNNNNNNNNNNNNNNNNNNNNNNNNNNNNNNNNNNNNNNNNNNNNNNNNNNNNNNNNNNNNNNNNNNNNNNNNNNNNNNNNNNNNNNNNNNNNNNNNNNNNNNNNNNNNNNNNNNNNNNNNNNNNNNNNNNNNNNNNNNNNNNNNNNNNNNNNNNNNNNNNNNNNNNNNNNNNNNNNNNNNNNNNNNNNNNNNNNNNNNNNNNNNNNNNAAGAGGGUGUUUGGUUACAGGGACUUAUUGGUGUAGGGACUUAAAAAAGUCCCUAUAAGUCCCAUCUAAACCAAACAGGAGGGACUUAUAGGGACUUAAAGUGAGCAUUUGGGACUUAUGAAAUAAGAAUCUCAAGGAGGGACUUAUAGUUGUAAUAUGGUCUUCUAGUCCAUGUUAAGUCCCAGGAACCAAAUAGGUAGAGACUUUUUAGGGACUUAUAACUUAUAAGUUGGGACUAAAAAAAAU
rnacentral:lncRNA from 1 species